rnacentral:rRNA from 1 species
AGAUGUGAAAGACCCGGGGCGUCAACCUCGGAAUUGCAUUUGUAAACUAGGCAGACUAGAGUACUGUAGAGGGGGGUAGGAAGUUUCUAGGUGUAGCGGUGAAAUAGCGUAGAGAUCUGAAGGAAUACCGGUGGCGAAGGCGGCCCCCUCGGACAGAUACUGACACUCAGAUGCGAAAGCGUGGGGGACGCAAAACAGGAUUAGAUACCCCUGGUAG